UUAAGAGGGACAGACGGGGGUAUUAGUACUCUGCCGUUAGAGGUGAAAUUCUUGGAUCGGCGGAAGACUCGCAACUGCGAAAGCAUUUGCCAAGAAUGUUUUCUUUAAUCAAGAACGAUAGUCGGAGGUUCGAAGACGAUCAGAUACCGUCCUAGUUUCGACUGUAAACUAUGCCAGCUAACGAUCAGACAGCGUUCUCUACGACUUGUCUGGCAGUUUCCGGGAAACCAAAGCUUUUGGGUUCCGGGGGAAGUAUGGUUGCAAAGCUGAAACUUAAAGGAAUUGACGGAAGGGCACCACCAGGAGUGGAGCCUGCGGCUUAAUUUGACUCAACACGGGGAAACUCACCCGGCCCGGACACAGUGAGGAUUGACAGAUUAAGAGUUCUUUCUUGAUUCUGUGGGUGGUGGUGCAUGGCCGUUCUUAGUUGGUGGAGCGAUUUGUCUGGUUAAUUCCGAUAACGAACGAGACUCUGGCAUGUUAAAUAGUCGCGGAAGUAUUUUUGCUUACCGAUUUGACUUCUUAGAGGGACAAGUGAUUUUAAUCACACGAGAUUGAGCAAUAACAGGUCUGUGAUGCCCUUAGAUGUUCGGGGCCGCACGCGCGCUACAAUGAGUCGAUCAACGAGCGUUUAUUUCCGAGGCCGAAAGGUCGAGGUAAUCCGUUGAACCCGACUCGUGCUAGGGAUAGGGAAUUGUAAUUGUUUCCCUUGAACGAGGAAUUCCCAGUAAGCGCAAGUCAUCAGCUUGCGUUGAUUACGUCCCUGCCCUUUGUACACACCGCCCGUCGCUAAUACCGAUUGAAUGGCA
rnacentral:rRNA from 1 species